rnacentral:lncRNA from 1 species
AUGAUGGAAGCUCUCCAAGAGUCUCUCCUGAAUAAUCUCACUGCACAUCUUGAUCGAGACCAGGAGCGAGGAUACACAGCCAGUGCUUCACGAGUGGUGAGUAAACAAUACAUAUUGGCUGCUGCUAACGCUGUGGUUGCUGUCCUUGUUUAGCCGUUCAGGAAUUGCUUGACUUUUGACUAAUUUAUCUAAGACCUCUGUGGCUCAGUUUCGUGGUCUCAGAAGAAUGAGGCUGUGAGACCCUGUUACGCAACUAGCUGCAUUUCACUAGACACAAAUAAAGGUAAUGUCUACAAAGCCA